CACAGAGUUAGCCGGUGCUUAUUCUGUCGGUAACGUCAAAACAAUUACGUAUUAGGUAACUGCCCUUCCUCCCAACUUAAAGUGCUUUACAAUCCGAAGACCUUCUCCACACACGCGGCAUGGCUGGAUCAGGCUUUCGCCCAUUGUCCAAUAUUCCCCA
rnacentral:rRNA from 1 species